GCACAAGCAGCGGAGCGUGUGGUUUAAUUCGAUGUUACACGAAGAACCUUACCAGGGUUUGACAUGCAAGUGGUAGGAAGCCGAAAGGUGACCGACCCUUCGGGGAGCUUGCACAGGUGCUGCAUGGCUGUCGUCAGCUCAUGUCGUGAGAUGUUCGGUUAAGUCCGCUAACGAGCGCAACCCUCGCUGUGUGUUAUAUGUGUCACACGGGACUGCCGGUCUUAAGCCGGAGGAAGGUGGGGAUGAUGUCAAGUCAGCAUGGCCUUUAUAUCCUGGGCUACACACACGCUACAAUGGCCAACACAAUAGGUUGCUAAGCCGCGAGGUGGCGCCAAUCCAUAAAGCUGGUCUCAGUUCAGAUUGUAGGCUGCAACCCGCCUGCAUGAAGAUGGAGUUGCUAGUAACCGCAGGUCGGCUAUACUGCGGUGAAUACGUUCCCGGGGCUU
rnacentral:rRNA from 1 species